rnacentral:sRNA from 1 species
UAAAAUUAUGCGGAGUCCUCUGCGUGGUUCUCCUCCUUACGUCCAAUUUCCAUUCUGGACAUGUUCUUAUUCAAUUCCUUGAACCUCUUCUGAACAGCGGCAGGUGGGUAUUUUUUCCCACCAGCGGCGCCAAUGGCGUCAGAAACACUACGCCAUUUGUCGUUUUCAAAUUUCUCCUCGAUCUCUCUCUUGAAGCGGAGCAGGCGCUCCUCCUGUAUAUAUGGAAAGCGCCAUCAGUAACAAGGAAAAAUUGCAUUGUGGUCGGCUACGUGCAUUAUGCACCAUGUGCCAUUGAACAAUAAAGCAAGGGGUUCAAGGAGUAAUGAGACGUACGUCCUCUGGCG